GUGCAGUUUUCUGAGCUUGCUCAUUGAAGUUCUGUUAGUCUCGUCAAGAAACAGGUGAAAUAUGCCGGAAAGCUGCACAUGUUGGCAAAGCCACAACAGAGGAACAAGGGAGACAACAUUUCCUUCCAUAAAUGGUGCACUGUAGAGCCAAGGAACACCUGCAACUCAUCUUGUCCUUGCACCUGAAGCUUAUGAGCGGCUCAUCAGGAGCAGGCUACUUAAACCCCGUUUUUAAGCUCAGUCUUUGCCAGAUUCUUUGUUUUCCCUGCCAAGAAGCCAGUUUGUAUUUCCUGAGGCCAGAUUCUUCCAGGAGCUUCCCAGAGCUUCACUGAGAUUCCAUGACCUUGAGCUCAAUUGUCCUGCCACGUCUAUGUGCGCUGACGUCGGAUCUUUCCGCAACUCAUUUCAAGGCAACCUGGCCAACUGUAAUUCCUGUAUUAGAGCUCAUUGUGUUAUUUGGUGUUUCCAGACACUCUCCUGCGCAGCUUCCAUGUCACACAUGCUCCUGGCUCCAUGACUAUCUGCACCAUGGCUCUCAGCUACAGAGCAUAUAGGUCUGCCAUGCUUCAGUUAAGCUCCUUCAUGUUCUGUGAGAUUCCGCCUUCACGCAGCUCCUGUUUCCAAGAACUAUUUGCAAGAACUGUCUCCAAGAACUGUUCCAAGAACUAGUACCAAUAACUGUUUUCCUAGAACUGUGUGAACUCUGACAUUGAACCAAGAACUUUCCAAGUCAUUUCUAAAGUCCUGCUUAAUUGGAACUGCGUCACAAGACGCACCUGACCUCUGAAGUGAACUCAUCAUGAACUGUGAACGAUUCCUGAACAGCAAACCUUAUUUCUUAGCUUGUGAACAUUAUUUCCAGAACUGUGAACCUUCCUGUUUUGAGCCUUCUGUGAAUAGUCUGUUGUUGGGGGCUUCAGUGUUGCGAGUGCAGUCCCUCACCUCUCCUCUCCUGCGAUAUCCUAGUUCCUGUUUUUGGCUCUGUGCGUCCUAACUGGCCCCGGCUCCAGAACCUUACACUACAGGAUUCCUACUCGUUCUCAGACUCCCAAGUCUGUCUGUGUGCACUGCAGCGUCCAGAUGUUCCACCGCUACAAGCGGGCCCUGUCUUGUCUCAGCAGGCUGUCUAACCAGCGCAGAAUUGUUCACUUGUUUAUUUCAACUAAAUCUCCUUUUGUUCACAACCAGUUCUGUUCCUUGCUCCCAGCGUUUAAGUCCAUCACCUGUAACCGUCUGGUCCUGUCCAUACCCCUAAUCAUAACAAAACUUCCUAAAAGAAUUUAAAUUUAAGUAAGGUGAAGCCAGUGGAACUGAUUAAAAGUUUUGUAGUUUGAAAAAAAAAAAAUGCUGCCAAUAAUGUUGCACAGAUGAUACUUUUAUCAUUUUGGCUGAUACUACGCUUAUUGCUUUGCGAAGUGUGGCCUUUACUGCCUGUUAGUGGGCAAAGCAAAAAUGCAAUUCCUACGUUACUAUUUGGCAUUUCCAAAGCCCGAAAACGCAGGACAAUCACCAUCUUGGAUUCGCGUCUGCCAGAGCCACAAUAUUAA